rnacentral:piRNA from 1 species
CCCUUAACCAGAUAAACUGUUGAUUGUUGAC